rnacentral:sRNA from 1 species
AUUUUUUUGUUUGAGAAACUUUGUGGGUUUCUCAUGGAUGGAAUAGAUGGAAAUGCCCUUAGCUGCAGCAUGCAUUGAGAAUACGUAGAUACUUUCUCUCGAAUCUUCUUCUUCAGAAAGAAAAAAAGAGAAAAGAAAACACGACAAUUGUCUUCUCUUCUCGAAGGUGCGUUAGGGUUCCGAUCUAAUCAUGGCGGACUCUCUUUUGAUGGAGGUUAACUAUCGCCGGCCUGAAAAGAUUCCGAAGUUGGACGAAGAUUGUGAAGGAUCGGAAUCUUCGUCGAAACAGCGCGUGGUCAAGUGGGGAACAGCGGAAGAUGAUGAAUACUUGCGACAGUAUUUGUUGUUUCACUAUCAAUUCCAGAAAACUCAGGUAAGAAAAAACCCCUAGAUUUCUCUGUAGUUAGGGUUGAGAUUUGAAAUCUGAUUAUGGAAUCUGUUUUGUUGAAAAUUAGGGUUUCUCGAUUAAAUGGGAGCAAUUUGAUUACAAUUUUCGUAGUAGAUCAAUGGAUAAGUCUCCAAAUGAAAUCAGCGAGAGAAAAAGCAAUGCCGUAUUGAUCCGUGAGAUGACACUCACUGCUAUCGACAAACACAACGAAGCUCAUGGAACCAAACUUGUGUUUGUGGAGCAUGUUGAGGCAAAUUACCAAUUGACCAGAGGUCUUACCUGCUGGUUAACAUUUUGGGCUACAGAUAUGGCCUCUUCCCCUCCACAGUCUAAAAUCUAUCAAGCACAUGUGUGGCGUCGCGGACAAAACUUUCACACUUUUAUAUUCAGGCUCAAGCCCACAGAUGAAGAGAUUGAAGCUGUUGAAGUGCAGCCACCGUCUCCCAUGCUUUAUGAAUUAGAUAAACCACCGAUUGUCUUUUCUCGACCUGGUCCUGAAGAUGAAGCAUUGCCUGGUGUCCCCUUUGUCUUCAAUCGAACUGGAGCUGGUCUUGACCCCGAUUGGUAGAGUAUGCUCUUGAUCCCGAUAGGAUAAUGUAUGCCAGUCCCUUUUUGGCAUUGACUAGUAAUAUUUCUAAUGUAAGUCGUCGGUUUGGAAAUUUUGUUACUUGGUCAAACUUUUUUACAAGGAAAUUAUGUACUAUCACUUAUCCAUAGAUAUACCAUUAACCGUGAGUAAUUUAUAUUAUCAACACACACUAUUCGUAUUGACAUCGAAUAAAUACAAGGUCCCAUAAAUUGACCUGAACCUAUUCUUAUGUUAUGAUGCAGAGGAAUAUAAUUAAGUAAGAGAUAAGUUGGAAAGUAGACACUUUUUUUAUAAAUAAUUUGCAAAGUAGGUAGUUUUUUUAGAAAUAUGAGAAAUAGACACUUUUCUCUUUCCUCUCUAAUACAACUUUUUGUCUAAUAGAGAUUUUAGUAAAUGACUUAUAUAACCUUUUGUUAUUUUGUUAUGUAGUAAGAUAAAGACAAAACUCAAGUCAAAUCCUACUUUUUAUUUUUACUUAAAUAUUUUUACUUUAUUUGAUGAUAUUUCUUCAUAAAAAUUUACCACAUAAUCAUAUUAGUUCUUAAAAUUUUUAUGUGAAUCUAAAAAAUCUAAUUUUGCUAUAUUUUAAAAAUAUGUAGCAAUUUUUAUUUAAUCUCAGCCGACGGUGUACGUGAUAUUGUUAAAAUUGGUGUACUAAUGGUAGUAUACAACAAUAACGUAAAAAUUAAUAUAUAAUUACUGAUGUAGAAAAUGAUACACUGAGUAUAACAGUGUACAAAAUGAUGUACAUAGAUGAUGAAAAAUAUGGUGUACAUAAUCGUACACCUUUAAAAAUCUAUGAGACAGUGUACUAACAUUGGUGUACGAGAUGAUGUACACCACUAAUUGAAAUAAUGAUUUAUACAUUCUCUAUAAGUGUACACCAAGUUUUGUACACUUUGUCUACCAAUCUUGUAUGUUAUCAUUUAAAAGUUGUAUAUAUCAUUCUAUCCACCAAUCGUCAUAAUAGUUUCAAUCAUUUUGUACACCAUUAAGAGUAACUUAAUUAUGUACACCAUCAUGUACACCAUUAUAUUGAAUAAUAAUAUUUGGUUUAUACAAUCAUUAUGUUUGUAAAAUAUU